rnacentral:rRNA from 1 species
GAAUUUUGGACAAUGGGGGCAACCCUGAUCCAGCCAUUCCGCGUGAGUGAAGAAGGCCUUCGGGUUGUAAAGCUCUUUCGCGAGGAAAGAAAACUUACCCUCUAACAUAGGGUGAGGCUGACGGUACCUUGAGAAGAAGCACCGGCUAACUACGUGCCAGCAGCCGCGGUAAUACGUAGGGUGCGAGCGUUAAGCGGAAUUACUGGGCGUAAAGCGUGCGCAGGCGGUUUUGCAAGUCAGAUGUGAAAGCCCCGGGCUCAACCUGGGAACUGCGUUUGAAACUGCAAGGCUAGAGUAUGGGAGAGGGAGGUAGAAUUCCACGUGUAGCAGUGAAAUGCGUAGAGAUGUGGAGGAAUACCAAUGGCGAAGGCAGCCUCCUGGCCUAAUACUGACGCUCAUGCACGAAAGCGUGGGGAGCAAACAG